rnacentral:rRNA from 1 species
GACGAACGCUGGCGGCGUGCUUAACACAUGCAAGUCGAACGGUGAAGCGCCUUCCUUUUUGGUGGGUGUGGAUGAGUGGCGAACGGGUGAGUAACACGUGAGUAACCUGCCCCCUUCUUCUGGAUAACCGCAUGAAAGUGUGGCUAAUACGGGAUAUUCUGGGUCUGUCGCAUGAUGGGUCUGGGAAAGAUAUUGUUUCGGUGGGGGAUGGGCUCGCGGCCUAUCAGCUUGUUGGUGGGGUGAUGGCCUACCAAGGCGGUGACGGGUAGCCGGCCUGAGAGGGUGGACGGUCACACGGGGACUGAGACACGGCCCAGACUCCUACGGGAGGCAGCAGUGGGGAAUAUUGCACAAUGGGCGAAAGCCUGAUGCAGCGACGCCGCGUGAGGGAUGGAGGCCUUCGGGUUGUGAACCUCUUUCGCCAGUGAAGCAGGCCUGCCUCGUUUGUGGGUGGGUUGACGGUAGCUGGAUAAGAGGCGCCGGCUAACUACGUG